rnacentral:lncRNA from 1 species
GAAUACAGUGAUGUCACCACAAUAGUCAGUGAAGCUCUCCACUCCAUCUGAUGCAUUGUUUACUAAAACACAAAGACAUCACACUCAGUGAAGAGGGAGCAAGUCUGCAAAGGACUUCUGAUAGCAGAUACUCUGAUGUCCAACACUGAACUUCUCAGUUUAUGGGAAACAAAACACUCUCACUACCAAUACAAACUGGUGGAUGAAAGGAUUGAGCACAGCCCUGCCAAAGAAGACCUGGGGGCACUGGUGGAUGGGAAGCUGAACAUGAGCCAGCACUGUGCCCUCGCAGCCCAGAAAGCCAACCAUAUCCUGGGCUGCAUCAAAAGAAGCAUGGUCAGCAGGGAAAGGGAGGAUCCUGCCCCUCUACUCUGUGCUGGUGAGGUCUCACCUGGAGUAUUUGUCUACCAAUGCCAUCACACUCUCAUAGAAGGCCAACAUAUAAGUCUGGCACGAUCUGUCCUUGGUGAAGCUGUGCUGGCUGUCUUGGAUCACCUCCACAUCUCCUAUGUGCCUUAAUAUCUCUUCCAGGAGGAUCUGUUUCAUGAUCUUCCCAGGCACAGUUGUGAGGCUCAGCAGCCUGUGGUUCCCCAGGUCUUCCUUUCUCCCUUUCUCGAAUAUGGGAGUGACAUUUCCCUUUUUUCAAUCAUCAGGACUUCGCCUGGCAGAUGCUACUUUUCAAAUAUGAUGGAGAGUGGCUCGGCAAACACAUCAGCCAGCUCCUUCAGAACCCUGUGGUGCAUAUCAUCUGGUCCCAUAGACCUGUAAACAUUCAGCCUCAUGAGGUGGUCUCAGACUUGCUCCAUUCUUAUGGUAGGACUGAUUUUGCUCUCUGGACUUCUCCUUAAAAGUUCAAGGACACAAGAGGCAUGAGAAGCCUGACUGGCCAUGAAGACCGAGGCAAAGAACUCAUUAAUUAUCUCAGCCUUUUCCAUGUCUGAGGAAGCCAGCUCUCCCUUUUUGUUUAUCAGAGGGAGUACACUCUCCUUUGCCUGCCUCUUCUGCUCAACUUAUCUAAAGAAUCCCUUGUUGUUUUUUUUUCACAGCCCUCACCAAGUUCAAUCCCAUCUGUGCCUUGGCUUUCCUGACUCCAUCCUUGCAUAUCUGGACAGCAUCCCUAUAUUAUUCCCAGGCCACCAAGCCCCCUUCAACUGCUUAUACUUUAUCUUUUUUUCCCCUCAUCCUAACUAGUAGGUCCUUGCUCAGCCAUUCUGGUUUCCUGCCUCAUCUGCCUGAUUGAUGUUUUUACAUGAGCUGACUUCUCUAAAUUGGGCACUUCUAGAAAGAAAUCUUGGCAUGCUUUAUACAAUAUACCCAGACACUUGCUUUUAAAGAUUACUUUGCUGAUCCUUCCCAUAAUAUUCAGAUCAGGAUGCAUGAGAUUUUUCAACAGAAGGGAUAUAAAACAAUAGUUUAUUCUUAAUGCUACAUAAAACUGGUUCAGAUGUGGAUCGACUUACUAAAAGACAUACUUUUCCACUAUAGUAAUGCUGAAAUGGGGAAAAUACAUUCCUAAAUG